rnacentral:rRNA from 1 species
CACGUAGGAGGCAAGCGUUAUUCGGAUUUACUGGGUGUAAAGCGCGUGUAGGCGGUUCGGAAAGUUGGAUGUGAAAGCUCCCGGCUUAACUGGGAGAGGCCGUUCAAAACUUCCGGACUAGAGAUUGGUAGAGGAAGAUGGAAUUCCGAGUGUAGUGGUGAAAUGCGCAGAUAUUCGGAGGAACACCAGUGGCGAAAGCGAUCUUCUAGACCAAAACUGACGCUCAGACGCGAAAGCUAGGGUAGCAAACGGGAUUAGAAACCCCUGUAGUCC